rnacentral:rRNA from 1 species
GACGAACGCUGGCGGCGUGCUUAACACAUACAAGUCGAACGGAAAGGCCCUGCUUUUGUGGGGUGCUCGAGUGGCGAACGGGUGAGUAACACGUGAGUAACCUGCCCUUGACUUUGGGAUAACUUCAGGAAACUGGGGCUAAUACCGGAUAGGAGCUCCUGCUGCAUGGUGGGGGUUGGAAAGUUUCGGCGGUUGGGGAUGGACUCGCGGCUUAUCAGCUUGUUGGUGGGGUAGUGGCUUACCAAGGCUUUGACGGGUAGCCGGCCUGAGAGGGUGACCGGCCACAUUGGGACUGAGAUACGGCCCAGACUCCUACGGGAGGCAGCAGUGGGGAAUAUUGCACAAUGGGCGGAAGCCUGAUGCAGCAACGCCGCGUGCGGGAUGACGGCCUUCGGGUAAACCGCUUUCGCCUGUGACGAAGCGUGAGUGACGGUAAUGGGUAAAGAAGCACCGGCUAACUACGUG